UCCUUAAUGGUCCAGUGGUUAAGAUUCUGAGCUUCCAAUGCAGGGGGUCACAGGUUCAAUUCCUGGUAAGGGAA
rfam:Ovis aries breed Texel unplaced genomic scaffold TnplacedScaffold_004083082.1, whole genome shotgun sequence.